rnacentral:rRNA from 1 species
UAAGGAAUAUUGGUCAAUGGACGCAAGUCUGAACCAGCCAUGCCGCGUGGAGGAUGAAGGUCCUCUGGAUUGUAAACUUCUUUUAUCUGGGACGAAACACUUCUUUUCUAAGAGGCCUGACGGUACCAGAUGAAUAAGCACCGGCUAACUCCGUGCCAGCAGCCGCGGUAAUACGGAGGGUGCAAGCGUUAUCCGGAUUCACUGGGUUUAAAGGGUGCGUAGGUGGGUAUGUAAGUCAGUGGUGAAAUCCCCGAGCUUAACUUGGGAACUGCCAUUGAUACUAUAUAUCUUGAAUACCGUAGAGGUAAGCGGAAUAUGUCAUGUAGCGGUGAAAUGCUUAGAUAUGACAUGGAACACCAAUCGCGAAGGCAGCUUACUAUGCGGUGAUUGACACUGAGGCACGAAAGCGUGGGUAGCAAACA